CAAUGGGCGAAAGCCUGACGGAGCAAUACCGCGUGAGGGAGGAAGGCUCUUGGGUUGUAAACCUCAAAACUUAGGGAAGAAGAAAGUGACGGUACCUAAUAUAAGCAUCGGCUAACUCCGUGCCAGCAGCCGCGGUAAUACGGAGGAUGCAAGCGUUAUCCGGAAUCAUUGGGCGUAAAGCGUCCGUAGGUGGCAUUUCAAGUCUGCUGUCAAAGACCGAAGCUCAACUUCGGGUAGGCGGUGGAAACUGAAAAGCUAGAGUAAAGUAGGGGUAGAGGGAAUUCCUAGUGUAGCGGUGAAAUGCGUAGAGAUUAGGAAGAACACCAGUGGCGAAGGCGCUCUACUGGACUUAAACUGAC
rnacentral:rRNA from 1 species